rnacentral:rRNA from 1 species
CAGCAGUAGGGAAUCUUCCGCAAUGGACGAAAGUCUGACGGAGCAACGCCGCGUGAGUGAUGAAGGCUUUCGGGUCGUAAAACUCUGUUGUUAGGGAAGAACAAGUGCUAGUUGAAUAAGCUGGCACCUUGACGGUACCUAACCAGAAAGCCACGGCUAACUACGUGCCAGCAGCCGCGGGGGGGGCGUAGGUGGCAAGCGUUAUCCGGAAUUAUUGGGCGUAAAGCGCGCGCAGGUGGUUUCUUAAGUCUGAUGUGAAAGCCCACGGCUCAACCGUGGAGGGUCAUUGGAAACUGGGAGACUUGAGUGCAGAAGAGGAAAGUGGAAUUCCAUGUGUAGCGGUGAAAUGCGUAGAGAUAUGGAGGAACACCAGUGGCGAAGGCGACUUUCUGGUCUGUAACUGACACUGAGGCGCGAAAGCGUGGGGAGCAAACAGGAUUAGAUACCCUGGUAGUCCACGCCGUAAACGAUGAGUGCUAAGUGUUAGAGGGUUUCCGCCCUUUAGUGCUGAAGUUAACGCAUUAAGCACUCCGCCUGGGGAGUACGGCCGCAAGGCUGAAACUCAAAGGAAUUGACGGGGGCCCGCACAAGCGGUGGAGCAUGUGGUUUAAUUCGAAGC